AUGGAAGUGCAAGAGUCCCGGAGGAACACUCAGCAAGCAGAGAUCCAAGCAUCCCAAAGGGGCAAUCUGCAGGUGGAAGUGCAAGAAUCCCAGAGCAACACCCAGCAAGCAGAGAUCCAAGCAUCCCGGAGGGGGAGUCAGCAGGUGGAGGCCCAAGAAUCCCAGGGAGCCACUCAGCAAGAAGACAUCCAGGCAUCCCGGAGGGGCAGUCUGCAGAUGGAAGUGCAAGAGUCCCGGAGGGAUACUCAGCAAGCAGAAGUCCAAGCAUCCUGGAGGGGCAGUCAGCAGAUGGAGGCCCAAGAGUCCCAGGGGGCCACUCAGGAAGAAUACAUCCUAGCAUCUCGAAGGGGCAGUCAGCAGGCAGAAGUGCAAGCAUCCUGUAGGGGCAGUCUGCAGAUGGAAGUGCAAGAGUCCCAGAGGGGCACUCAGCAAGCAGAUGUGCACGAAUCCCAGGGAAAUAGUCAAUAUGUGAAGAUGCAAGAGUCCCGGAUGGGCAGUCAGCAGGCGGAGGUACCAGCAUCCCGGAGGUGUAGUCAGCAGGCUGAGGUUCAGGACAGUAAACAGGCAGAGGUGCAAACAUCUGAGAGUGGCACUCAACCGGUGGAAGUGGAAACAUCCUGGGCUAGCAUUCAGCAGGUAGAAGUACAUGCAUCCAGGAAGGGUAGUCAGCAGGCAGAGGUGCAAAUGUCCCGGAGGGGCAGUAAGCAGGGUGAGUUGCAAGAAUGUCAGAAAGACAACCAACAGGGAGAGCCCUGGAGAGGCAGGCAGCAGAUUGAUGUGCCUGAGUCCCCAAAAGAAUGCCAGAGGGCACAGGUUCUCCAUUCUCUACAAAACAGUGUUCUACAAACAGCACCAUGCUCCCAACAAAGUCCCCAACAAGCCGAGAAGUUAGAAUCUCAGCAAGUUAGCCACUUUGAUACCAAGCAGGACUCCCAGCAAGAAAACCAGCAGUUGGUGAAUGUUGAGUUUCAAUAUAGUGACAUGUUAUGGAACACAUCAGGAGGUCAAAUACAAGACCUUGGCAAUUCUGAAAGCAAGAGUACACUUGGGAGCCUAUCAUCAAUAUAUGUUGAGGCAGAAGAUCAAGCUCUGCAGACCUACAGCAUAGUUUCUUUAGAAAAUGGAAUUUUGUUGAAUAGAAAAACAGGCAGAAUCUUGACAAGCCAUAGUCAACAGACAAGUGCCACUGCUGUUAAUUCAGUGUAUAACCGAGCUCAGGAAGACCUCAGAGAUGCAGUACAAGGGCCAGAGCCAUCUGAAUCCAGAUUAAAGCAACCUGAAGGGAAAUCAGGUCAGGAAUCUCCACAUCGUAGUCAAACAGCUGAAAAUGAUGUAUCAAGUAUUACGACCACAUCAUCCUGGAGGGAACGGCAGUUCUCUGAUGAUGCUCAGAAAGACAUAGAGAAAGUGCUAACAGCCUAUACAAGUGAGUCUACCUUGCUGAGUGCACAGUCAUCAUUAACAUAUGCAGAAGUGGAUUAUGCCUCCAGGAUUUCUAGCAAUGUUUCUGUGCGUGAAGGAAGCUGGAUAAACAUUAAAACGGGCAGGCUGCUAGCAUCGCAAGGUCAGCAAACUGACAUAUAUGCGGAAGAUGGCUAA
rnacentral:lncRNA from 1 species